UAGGGAAUCUUCGGCAAUGGGGGGAACCCUGACCGAGCAACGCCGCGUGAGUGAAGAAGGUUUUCGGAUCGUAAAGCUCUGUUGUUAAGGAAGAACGAGUGUGAGAAUGGAAAGUUCAUACUGUGACGGUACUUAACCAGAAAGGGACGGCUAACUACGUGCCAGCAGCCGCGGUAAUACGUAGGUCCCGAGCGUUGUCCGGAUUUAGUGGGCGUAAAGCGAGCGCAGGCGGUUAGAUAAGUCUGAAGUUAAAGGCAGUGGCUCAACCAUUGUAGGCUUUGGAAACUGUUUAACUUGAGUGCAGAAGGGGAGAGUGGAAUUCCAUGUGUAGCGGUGAAAUGCGUAGAUAUAUGGAGGAACACCAGUGGCGAAGGCGACUCUCUGGUCUGUAACUGACGCUGAGGCUCGAAAGCGUGGGUAGCAAACAGG
rnacentral:rRNA from 1 species